CCUUCAUACAGUGUGAAGCGUGUAUCCAAGUGUUCUUCCCAGCCAACUUUACAGAGGUAGCUGUAGUUAAUAGUACUUGGUAUGGACCAUCGAAUCUUGGCUCAAGAGUAUGUUUUCUUAGGAAUUUCUUGACCAUAACCCAAUCACUGGGUAGUAACUUUUGGAUUCUAGAUCUGGAAUAGAAGAAAACACCUGUGCAUGGAUUUUGGUCAAGGCAUGAGAGAGUGCAGUUAUAUAAUCUACCAUUGCAUCUGACUGAAGUUAAAGUUGUUGUGGGAAAUAACAACCUAACCUGGGUGCUGUCCCGAACAAAAUCUCGUAGGGGGAUAGGUUAAACUUCCCCCUUGGGGUAUACCUUACACUAAAGAGUGCUAUGGGGAGACUCUCCGGCCAGGGCAAAUUAGUUUCCUGUGACAUUUUUAGCAUUCUGGCUUUCAGAGUGCCAUUCAUGCGUUCUACCUUACCACUACUCUGUGGGUGAUAGGGUAUGUGGAAAGCAAGGGUCACCCCCAGUGCUGCCCAGAUUUCUCUGGUUAGUAAUGCGGUGAAAGAUGUACCCUGAUCACUUUCAAUCACUUCAGGGACUCCGUAUCUGCAGACAAUUUCGGUGAGUAGGUGUUUAGCGGUAGUCUUUGCGGUAAUGUUGGCAACUGGGAAAGCUUCUGGCC